GAUUAAGUUAUUAAGGGCGCACGGUGGAUGCCUUGGCACUAGAAGCCGAUGAAGGACGUUACUAACGACGAUAUGCUUUGGGGAGCUGUAAGUAAGCUUUGAUCCAGAGAUUUCCGAAUGGGGAAACCCAGCAUGAGUUAUGUCAUGUUAUCGAUAUGUGAAUACAUAGCAUAUCAGAAGGCACACCCGGAGAACUGAAACAUCUUAGUACCCGGAGGAAGAGAAAGAAAAUUCGAUUCCCUUAGUAGCGGCGAGCGAAACGGGAAGAGCCCAAACCAACAAGCUUGCUUGUUGGGGUUGUAGGACACUCUAUACGGAGUUACAAAGGACGACAUUAGACGAAUCAUCUGGAAAGAUGAAUCAAAGAAGGUAAUAAUCCUGUAGUCGAAAAUGUUGUCUCUCUUGAGUGGAUCCUGAGUACGACGGAGCACGUGAAAUUCCGUCGGAAUCUGGGAGGACCAUCUCCUAAGGCUAAAUACUCUCUAGUGACCGAUAGUGAACCAGUACCGUGAGGGAAAGGUGAAAAGCACCCCGGAAGGGGAGUGAAAUAGAACCUGAAACCGUGUGCUUACAAGUAGUCAGAGCCCGUUAAUGGGUGAUGGCGUGCCUUUUGUAGA
rnacentral:rRNA from 1 species